UUCUGGUUGAUCCUGCCGGAGGCUACCGCUAUUGGAGUUCGAUUAAGCCAUGCGAGUCGUGAGUCCUAGGGACUCGGCGUACCGCUCAGUAACACGUGGGUAACCUGCCCUAUGCUGGGGGAUAACCUCGGGAAACUGAGAAUAAUACCCCAUAGUUCACCACGCCUGGAACGGUGGGUGGAUGAAAGCUCCGGCGGCAUAGGAUGGGCCUGCGGCGUAUCAGGUUGUAGGGGGUGUAAUGUACCCUCUAGCCAUCUACGCGUACGGGUGUUGGGAGACAUCGCCCGGAGAUGGAUUCUGAGACACGAAUCCAGACCCUACGGGGUGCAGCAGGCGCGAAAACUUGGCAAUGCGAGCAAUCGUGACCAGGGAACUCCAAGUGCAUCGGGUAAGACCGAUGCUUUUCUUGACUCUUCAAAGGUCUUGGAAUAAGGGGUGGGUAAGGACGGUGCCAGCCGCCGCGGUAAUACCGGCGCCUCAAGUGGUAGUCGCUUUUAUUGGGCCUAAAACGUCCGUAGCCGGUUUGGUACAUUCGUGGGUAAAUCAAGGCGCUCAACGUCUUGAAUUCUGCGAGCACGGCCAGACUUGGGACCGGGUGAGGUGUGGGGUACUCUCAGGGUAGGGGUAAAAUCCUGUCAUCCUGAGAGGACCACCUGUUGCGAAGGCGCCACACUAGAACGGAUCCGACGGUCAGGGACGAAGCCUAGGGGCACGAACCGGAUUAGAUACCCGGGUAGUCCUAGGUGUAAACGCUGUGGACUUGAUGUUGGGAGUGCUCCGAGCACCCUCAGUGUCGAAGCGAAGGUGAUAAGUCCACUGCCUGGGGAGUACGGUCGCAAGGCUGAAACUUAAAGGAAUUGGCGGGGGAGCACUGCAACCUGAGGAUUGUGCGGUUUAAUUGGACUCAACGCCGGGA
rnacentral:rRNA from 1 species